GACGGGGGGGGCAAGUGUUCUUCGGAAUGACGGGGGGUAAAGGGCACGUAGGCGGUGAAUCGGGUUGAAAGUGAAAGUCGCCAAAAAGUGGCGGAAUGCUCUCGAAACCAAUUCACUUGAGUGAGACAGAGGAGAGUGGAAUUUCGUGUGUAGGGGUGAAAUCCGUAGAUCUACGAAGGAACGCCAAAAGCGAAGGCAGCUCUCUGGGUCCCUACCGACGCUGGGGUGCGAAAGCAUGGGGAGCGAACAGG
rnacentral:rRNA from 1 species